rnacentral:lncRNA from 1 species
AAUGUCAGAGGCAACAGAUAUGGGGUACUCACACAUACUCAUCAUGGGAGAUUUUAAUUAUCCUGAAAUAAACUGGGAAACAUGGAACACAAAGGGGGAUAGACCAAACAGCACUGAAAAUAAAUUUCUGAAAGCACUACAAGAUAAUUUUCUGUACCAACACACAACAAAACCAACAAGAUGGAGAGGAGCUGACACACCCCAUACACUUGACUUACUAAUCACAAAUGAAGAAGAGAUGAUUUCAAACCUAGAAUAUAUGAGCCCGCUUGGAAAAAGUGACCACUGCGUCCUAUCCUUUGAUUUUAACUGUUAUGUAAAUAUAAAAAGAGCACCGA